AAAGGAACACUCUCUCAGUAUGUCAGGCAUUUGGUACAGAAUCAGAGUCCCAAAUGGGCACAUUUGCUUGGCCAAGCUUAAGUCACAGGCUUUUCUAACUGCCAAAGGAAAAAGAAGAAGAAGAAGAAGGAAAACAUAUGCCAUAGUAUGAUAUAGGGCUCUUUCUCGAACUUUUCUAGGAAUUUCUCCAAAAUGAGAAGGGCAUUCAAAUGCCUGAGAAUGGAGAGCAACUUGUAAUUACCUGUAUACUUGCCUUUAUGCACAGUAAGAAUCUAUGUAAUCAAACUAAUCUCCGUGAAUAACGUGCCUAUGGGAGAAUUUAUUCUUCACUUCAAAUUGGAACUCUAAGAAUAUAUCUCCCUUUACUGUGUACAUAAUAUCAGAACUGGAGAUUCUCCCUGUUCCAAAUUAUUUAUGGAAGUUCCUGUGGCCUAUUGUGGAGUCUUUAAGAAGGGAAAACCUGGGGAAUGAAUGGGGAUGAAGUACGGAGCAUUCUAAAGAAUGAGAAUUUCUUGUCAGCAUAAAACCUCUGAGGUGACUUUUCUGAGUCAUAUCCUCAGUUAUUCCCUCCCUCUUCUUUCACAGGUUUAUAUUCUUAUGUUUCCAAUGUCAUUAUCUAUAGCUGUAUCCAUGUUUUCUUCUGCCUAAGUUACUGCUAAGUAGAUCACAAUCUCCCAGCUCCUUUACUUUCACGUCUGUGAAGAAGUUCAUGUUCUUUUAUGGUUUUCUAGAGGAUUACUGCUAGCAAUAAUAAAAAGCAAUUUAAUAAAGAGCAUUCUGCCACAUAAUUGAGACACACGCACACACACACACACACACACACACACACAGAAUUUAACAUUUCUAUGUAGACAGUCA
rnacentral:lncRNA from 10 species